AGUGAACGCUGGCGGUAGGCCUAACACAUGCAAGUCGAACGGCAGCACAGUAAGAGCUUGCUCUUACGGGUGGCGAGUGGCGGACGGGUGAGGAAUACAUCGGAAUCUACUUUUUCGUGGGGGAUAACGUAGGGAAACUUACGCUAAUACCGCAUACGACCUACGGGUGAAAGCAGGGGAUCUUCGGACCUUGCGCGAUUGAAUGAGCCGAUGUCGGAUUAGCUAGUUGGCGGGGUAAAGGCCCACCAAGGCGACGAUCCGUAGCUGGUCUGAGAGGAUGAUCAGCCACACUGGAACUGAGACACGGUCCAAACUCCUACGGGAGGCAGCAGUGGGGAAUAUUGGACAAUGGGCGCAAGCCUGAUCCAGCCAUACCGCGUGGGUGAAGAAGGCCUUCAGGUUGUAAAGCCCUUUUGUUGGGAAAGAAAAGCAGCAGGUUAAUACCCCGCUGUUCUGACGGUACCCAAAGAAUAAGCACCGGCUAACUUCGUG
rnacentral:rRNA from 1 species